rnacentral:sRNA from 12 species
UAUCUUCUUAUGCUUUUGAUCCAACUCGGUGCAGAAGGCUUUACAACCUGCCGAGGCGCGAUGGAAUUCUUAGUGAGCAUCCCGAGGGAUACCUUGGGAGAGGAGCUGUUGUAUAUCAGCGAUGGUAUACAGGGAGGCGGAAACCGCCAACAGAAAAGUCGCGGCACCGUGUGAUAGCGAGAUAAAAGUUACUGGACUCGCGGGGCGGGCAAUAGACGCUCCAGUGGAGAAUAAUCCUGUAUGCCUUGUCCGUGGCUGGAUGAUGACACAGCAGGAAAGCCACUAACCGCCUGAGAGUUGAUGCCCGGAAACGGGAUAUAACGCGAGAAACAGGUGCGAGUAGCCAAAGCUCUCGGUGAAGAACCGGUCUGUAUCAACCGCUAGAUACUCAAGCUGAAGUUUGGUGAAAGUUAUGGGUAUCAAUCCCAUGUGGUCACGGCGAAAGCGGUGUGAAAAUGUUAGGGGUCGCUCCCCGAAGCACAGCGUCACAUCACCACUGAACGAACAUUAUCGAUGAUCAUGCGGCAUCCCGAAGGGGAGGAUGAAAGGCAUAAGCGGG